GUGAAUCAUCGAAUCUUUGAACGCACAUUGCGCCCCUUGGUAUUCCGGGGGGCAUGCCUGUUCGAGCGUCAUUAUAACCAAUCACGCCUCGCGUGGACUUGGGGUUCGCAUCCCGCGGCCCUUAAAAUCAGGGCGGUGUCCGCUGGGCUCUAAGCGUAGUAAUUCUCCUCGCUUUUGAGCCCCGCGGGUGCUCGCCACAACCCCAACUUCUCUCAGGUUGACCUCGGAUCAGGUAGGGAUACCCGCUGAACUUAAGCAUAUCAAUAAGCGGAGGA
rnacentral:misc_RNA from 1 species